GACGAACCAUGCAAACGUUAUUCGGAAUGACUGGGCUUAAAGCGUGCGUAGGCGGUUCCGAAAGUUGGGUGUGAAAUCCCCCGGCUCAACCGGGGAAUUGCGCCCAAAACUACGGAACUCGAGGGAGAUAGAGGUGGGCGGAACUUCGGGUGGAGCGGUGAAAUGCGUUGAUAUCCGAAGGAACACCAGAGGCGAAAGCGGCCCACUGGAUCUUUUCUGACGCUGAGGCACGAAAGCUAGGGGAGCGAACGGGAUUAGAUACCCCGGUAGUCCUAGCCGUAAACGAUGAGCACUGGAUCGGAGGGUCUCCCAUAACCUUCCGGUCGUAGCGAAAGUGUUAAGUGCUCCGCCUGGGGAUUAUGGUCGCAAGGCUGAA
rnacentral:rRNA from 1 species